GUAGGGUGCGAGCGUUAAUCGGAAUUACUGGGCGUAAAGCGUGCGCAGGCGGUUGUGUAAGACAGGUGUGAAAUCCCCGGGCUUAACCUGGGAACGGCGCUUGUGACUGCACGGCUAGAGUACGGCAGAGGGGGGUGGAAUUCCACGUGUAGCAGUGAAAUGCGUAGAUAUGUGGAGGAACACCGAUGGCGAAGGCAGCCCCCUGGGCCGAUACUGACGCUCAUGCACGAAAGCGUGGGGAGCAAACAGGAUUAGAUACCCUGGUAGUCCACGCCCUAAACGAUGUCAACUAGUUGUUCGGAGAGGUAACUUUCUGAGUAACGCAGCUAACGCGUGAAGUUGACCGCCUGGGGAGUACGGCCGCAAGGUUA
rnacentral:rRNA from 1 species